CCCUAUGGGGUGCACGGCUCGCAUGGGUCGCACGGCUCGCACGGGUCGCACGGCUCGCACGGCUCCUGGUAAUCGACGGAACGGGGUUCGUCGAUUCGGGAACCGCAGCUCGGGGGGGCUGGCCGGACGGUCGAUCAAACGGGGCGCGGACGCGCUUCCAGUCCAUGGUGUAUCCACUUCAUUCGUGUCCUGAAACCUGAAACGACAAUUACCUGUUUCGUUCCUUAUCGUUGAAAUUCAUUUUCGGGUACGGCACGGUGUUUCGGGUGCGGCGCAGGCGUCGCGUAACCCGAGCGUACGCGCGCAUGCGAUGCGCGCCAUGCCAGAGCACGCCCGCGGCACGCGAACCCUCGGGGAUUUUGCCUGUCCUUUCGUGGUGUUGGGAUCGGCCUGGUGAAUUCUAUUUGUUCAUUCUCGAAUUGGCGGGAGGGC
rnacentral:rRNA from 1 species